GUUUAGUAUAUAGAUGUGAGAUGGAUUUCUGUUCUGGAUACUGGCCAGCAUUUACAUUAUCAGUAUGGUGUCUUAUCCUGCAUAUGCAUGUGACAGUGAGGAGUUGUUGCUGGUUCGCCUAGGGCGUAAAACCCACCUCCCGACAGCUGUCUAGCAUUUACAUUAUCGAUAUGGUGUCUUAUCCUGCAUAUGCAUGUGACAGUAGGGAGUUGUUGCUGGUUC
rnacentral:lncRNA from 1 species